rnacentral:lncRNA from 1 species
AAUGAAUGUUUGUUGAGUGACCAAACGACUGAAUUGACGAGUGGAGGGGAAGCUGAUGGAGUCAGUGACAUGGAGCAUGAGAAUCCCAAGAUGGUUCCUGGGACACGUGUGCAGUGAAUGCAGGAGCCACCUCUAUCAAGUAUUUUCACGAAUGAAAUGCAACUCCAGAAGGCAGGCAGGAAAGAUAGAAAGGCUGAGACGGCAGUGAGGGUGUGAUGGUCCUGGAGUGAGCUUGCGCGUGGCUGUUCAGAUGGUGGGCUUUGC